UAGGACCAUGGCUCCAUUUUUUAGGCCUGUUUUUACUUCGUAUCUUGUUUUAUAAAAAGUUAUAAAACUAACU